rnacentral:rRNA from 1 species
AGCAGCCGCGGUAAUUCCAGCUCCAAUAGCGUAUAUUAAAGUUGUUGCAGUUAAAAAGCUCGUAGUUGAAUUUCGGGAUUGACACAUCGGUCGUGCCUUAAGGGGUAUGAACUGGUGUAGUCAAUUUCUCACCUUCUGGAGAACCGCGAUGCCCUUAAUUGGAUGUCGUGGGGAACCAGGACCUUUACUUUGAAAAAAUUAGAGUGUUUAAAGCAGGCAUUUUGCUUGAAUACAUUAGCAUGGAAUAAUAAAAUAGGACGGCAUGAUUCUAUUUUGUUGGUUUCUAGGAUCACCGUAAUGAUUAAUAGGGAUAGUUGGGGGCAUUAGUAUUCAAUUGUCAAAGGUGAAAUUCUUGGAUUUAUUGAAGAUUAACUACUGCGAAAGCAUUUGCCAAGGAUGUUUUCAUUAAUCAAGAACGAAAGUUAGGGGAUCGAAGACGAUCAGAUACCGUCGUAGUCUUAACCAUAAACUAUGCCGACUAGGGAUCGGAUGAUGUUAAU